GAAGCGGUGGCUCAAUGGUAGAGCUUUCGACUCCAGUUAAAGUCUGGAUUANUUGGCAAUCGAAGGGUUGCAGGUUCAAUUCCUGUCCGUUUCA
rnacentral:tRNA from 1 species